rnacentral:rRNA from 1 species
AUUGAACGCUGGCGGCAUGCUUUACACAUGCAGGUCGAACGGUAACAGGCCGCAAGGUGCUGACGAGUGGCGAACGGGUGAGUAAUGCAUCGGAACGUGCCCAGUCGUGGGGGAUAACUACUCGAAAGAGUAGCUAAUACCGCAUACGAUCUAUGGAUGAAAGCGGGGGACCGUAAGGCCUCGCGCGAUUGGAGCGGCCGAUGUCAGAUUAGGUAGUUGGUGGGGUAAAGGCUCACCAAGCCAACGAUCUGUAGCUGGUCUGAGAGGACGACCAGCCACACUGGGACUGAGACACGGCCCAGACUCCUACGGGAGGCAGCAGUGGGGAAUUUUGGACAAUGGGCGCAAGCCUGAUCCAGCAAUGCCGCGUGCAGGAAGAAGGCCUUCGGGUUGUAAACUGCUUUUGUACGGAACGAAACGGCUCUGGUUAAUACCCGGGGCUAAUGACGGUACCGUAAGAAUAAGCACCGGCUAACUACGUG